CCCUGAGUAACAUUACGUCUUUCUAGCUUUAACAGUGGCGUCUCUACUAUUUAGAACUAUACGUAGAUUAUUACAAAAAUGCGUAUAUUUUGUUAUUAGAUAGCGUUUUCGAUUGUUAAAUUAGAAUUACACUCACAUUCGAAACCGCUAUAAAUGUUUUAAAAAUUGUGUGUGUUAUGGCUAAUAUCUGUACCAAUAAAACAGCUAUUAUAGGUAGUUAAUACCUGAAAUUUGAAUAUCAAAAUCGCUAUCGCUAUUUUUCAAAAUUAAUAGGAAAAUAUAAAUAAAAUAAAAUCCAGAUUUUCAAUAUUUCAUUGUUACCGCCAGCCCCUUGCGCCAGCCAUACGCGCAGACGCGAGCAAAAGGUAUAUUCUAACCUCAAAUUUUGUCAAAAAAUAAAUAAUGAAGUGAUAUCAAACAUUUAGCCGAGUAUCCGUACUUAAACAGUUAAUACAUUGUUUGUAGAAUAUCAAUCAAAUUUACAUCAAUAACUUUAAGAUUAGCGGCGUACCUAAAAGGUACCAUCACCAUUUUUACAAUUACUUCAGACCAGAGCUUCAGACUUUAGCUAUAUAAUUCUUCCCCUAAUGUUGAAAGAAAACUGUUUUUGCGAUCUAAAUGGUAUAUUUGAGCUCUAGUUAUUAUUAGCAGGUUUUAGAUAUUAACCGUAACAUAUAUUAUAGCUUUACUGUAAAUACUGAGCGUAGACAGUGAUGGAUUUCACUCUAGAAUUUGGAAAAUGAAUCAAAAGUGUGCAAUCAAAUUUGUUCUGAUAAGUUUGAUAAAAGGGAUAUUAUGAUCACCGAAUAAACUGGUUGAAGGCAAAUAGGAAAUGCUGAGCUUCAAAUAGAUACUACCAUUUUUGCUGGGGCCUUAUCAUGCAGAAUAGUAAGAUAAAUCUCAUUUUCUGAUCUUUCAAUAGUUGGAUAUUUAUUGGCUCAAGAAGUCCUAUCAGAAAAAGAAAGAAGCAUGUUAAUGAGGUAUAAUAAUGAUAGUAUGUAGAAAUUUAAGUCUCAUAAAAAUUUGGGAACAAAGAAAAUGAAAAAUACAUACUUUACAAAUGGGUCUAAGAAUAUUGAAAAAUAAAAUAACAUCAAUGCAUCAAUUAAUUGAUUACUUAAAAGAACAAUCUUUGAUAAGUGAAUCAUCUGAAUUGACCAUAAAGGUAUAAAUAUAGGCUUCCCUAGCUGGGCCAGCACAAACUAUUUUUGAAAGAAUGUUAAAAGGACCUGCCACACAAAAAUCUAAUCCUCUGCUACUAUCCUUUGCUUUAACAUUGUCAUUUUAUUCACUGAAAACAUGAAUUUUAUAAGGGAUACAUAAACUGGCCCAAUAUUUUUGAUAUUUUUAACUCUCAGAAUGGAUUUACAAAAUAUUCAUAUCAAAAAUUAUCAAAAUAUAAGAACAACAUACUUUUUAAUAAUUUUGAAAUAAUUUAAUUGUAUAUUAUUGGACUUACUUUGAAAGAAAGGCCAAUUAUAGAGUCGCAAAGAAAAACAGCUUACAACAUAUGUAUAAAUCUAUGUAAAAGAAAGGCAAUUAUUAAAAUAUAUUUUGACUAACUGGUGGAGGUCUACGUAUACAAAAAACAAAAACGGAAGAUAAUAUAUUCAAUUAAUGUAAAAAUGAGAAGAGCAUUGUGGGAUUAAAAACAUACGAUGGUGAUAGAUUGUCUUAAACUAAUAGGAGUAAGGAGUACUGGUAAUUUCUCAAAACAAUACUGAUGGUUACAAAGAAACAGAAGAAAAGGGAAGAUAGUAAUUUACUAGACAAAAGGCUUUUGUAAUAUGGAGAUGGGCAAAAUUCAAAGUAGUAGUAUUCAAAACAGAGAAGAACAUAAGCUAAAGAAAAAAAGGGUUGCUUUUAGACAUUGAAAUAAAAAAAGAACAGUGAAGUUCUUAAAGAGAACUUAUUUAAUAAUUUUAAUUAUUGUUUAUAUUGUAAUGUAAAAACUGUAGUGUAUGUUAUUUCUGAAUAAAAUACAUUUAAUAAUGAUA